rnacentral:rRNA from 1 species
CCUACGGGUGGCAGCAGUGGGGAAUCUUCCGCAAUGGGCGAAAGCCUGACGGAGCAACGCCGCGUGAUCGAAUGAAGGCCUUCGGGUUGUACAGAUCUGUUGACAGGGACGAAUAAGCAAUGCGAAUAGUUUUGUGUAUGACGGUACCUGUUUAGAAAGCUCCGGCUAACUACGUUCCAGCAGCCGCGGUAAUACGUAGGGAGCAAGCGUUGUCCGGAAUUACGGGGCGUAAAGGGCGCGUAGGUGGGCGCUUAAGUCAGGUGUGAACACUCCGGGCUCAACCUGGAGACUGCACUUGAAACUGGCUGUCUUGAGAUGUCGAGAGGUAUGCGGAAUGCGCAGUGUAGCGGUGAAAUGCUUAGAUAUUGCGCAGAACUCCGAUUGCGAAGGCAGCAUACCGGCGGCGAUCUGACGCUGAGGCACGAAAGCGUGGGUAUCGAACAGGAUUAGAUACCCCAGUAGUC